rnacentral:rRNA from 1 species
AUAAACGCUAGCGGCAGGCCUAACACAUGCAAGUCGAGGGGCAGCGGGUGGAGUAUUUCGGUACUCCUGCCGGCGACCGGCGCACGGGUGCGUAACGCGUAUGCAACCUACCUUUAACAGGGGGAUAAUCCGAAGAAAUUUGGUCUAAUACCCCAUAAUAUCAUUUAAGGCAUCUUAGAUGGUUGAAAAUUCCGAUGGUUAGAGAUGGGCAUGCGUUGUAUUAGCUAGUUGGUGAGGUAACGGCUCACCAAGGCUACGAUACAUAGGGGGACUGAGAGGUUUUCCCCCCACACUGGUACUGAGACACGGACCAGACUCCUACGGGAGGCAGCAGUGAGGAAUAUUGGUCAAUGGACGCAAGUCUGAACCAGCCAUGCCGCGUGCAGGAUGAAGGUGCUAUGCAUUGUAAACUGCUUUUGUACGAGGGUAAAUGCAGGUACGUGUACCUGUUUGAAAGUAUCGUACGAAUAAGGGUCGGCUAACUCCGUGCCAGCAGCCGCGGUAAUACGGAGGACCCGAGCGUUAUCCGGAUUUAUUGGGUUUAAAGGGUGCGUAGGCGGAUUAGUAAGUUAGAGGUGAAAGCUCGAUGCUCAACAUCGAAAUUGCCUCUGAUACUGUUAGUCUAGAGUAUAGUUGCGGAAGGCGGAAUGUGUGGUGUAGCGGUGAAAUGCUUAGAUAUCACACAGAACACCGAUUGCGAAGGCAGCUUUCCAAGCUAUUACUGACGCUGAUGCACGAAAGCGUGGGGAGCGAACAGGAUUAGAUACCCUGGUAGUCCACGCCGUAAACGAUGAUAACUCGUUGCAGGCGAUACACAGUCUGUGACUUAGCGAAAGCGUUAAGUUAUCCACCUGGGGAGUACGUUCGCAAGAAUGAAACUCAAAGGAAUUGACGGGGGCCCGCACAAGCGGAGGAACAUGUGGUUUAAUUCGAUGAUACGCGAGGAACCUUACCCGGGCUUAAAUUGCAGUGGAAUGAUGUGGAAACAUGUCAGUGAGCAAUCACCGCUGUGAAGGUGCUGCAUGGUUGUCGUCAGCUCGUGCCGUGAGGUGUCGGGUUAAGUCCCAUAACGAGCGCAACCCCUACUGUUAGUUACCAGCACGUCAAGGUGGGCACUCUAGCAGGACUGCCGGUGUAAGCCGAGAGGAAGGUGGGGAUGACGUCAAAUCAGCACGGCCCUUACGUCCGGGGCGACACACGUGUUACAAUGGUCGGUACAGAGGGUCGCUACCCCGUGAGGGGAUGCCAAUCUCGAAAGCCGAUCUCAGUUCGGAUUGGAGGCUGAAACUCGCCUCCAUGAAGUUGGAUUCGCUAGUAAUCGCGCAUCAGCCAUGGCGCGGUGAAUACGUUCCCGGGCCUUGUACACACCGCCCGUCAAGCCAUGGGAGUUGGGGGUGCCUGAAGUACGUGACCGCAAGGAGCGUCCUAGGGCAAAACCGAUGACUGGGGCU